CCCUUAGAUGUUCUGGGCAGCACGCGCGCUACAAUGGUCUUCGCAAACGGAUGCAUUCUCGAAGGAGAAUGCCAAUCUUGGAAUCUAUGCCUUGGUCGGGACAGUUGCUUGCAAUUUUUCGACUCGAACCAGGAAUUCCUUGUAAUCGUGAUUCGCCACAUCACGAUGAAUACGUCCCUGCCCUUUGUACACACCGCCCGUCGCUCCUACCGAUCGAAGAGUUAGGUGAAUUGUUUUGAUCGAUAAGAUUUGACUAUGGUCAACUCUCGUUGUGAAAUUCUGUGAAUCUGACUGUUUAGAGGAAGGAAAAGUCGUAACA
rnacentral:rRNA from 1 species